AAUGAACGCUGGCGGCAUGCCUAAUACAUGCAAGUCGAACGGCAACACAAUAAGAGCUUUCUCUUACGGGUGGCGAGUGGCGGGCGGGUGAGACAUACAUCGGCAUCUACUUUUUCUGGGGUGAUAACGUAGGAAAACUUACGCUAAUACCGCAUAUAAUCUACGGGUGAAAUCAGUAGAGCUUCGGACCUUGCGCGAUUGUAUUAGCUGGUGUCGGAUUAGCUAGUUGGCGUGGUAAAGGCACACCAAGGCAACGAUCCGUAGCGGAGCUGAGAGGGUGAUCGGCCACACUGGAACUGAGACACGGUCCAGACUCCUACGGGAGGCAGCAGUGGGGAAUCUUGCGCAAUGGGCGAAAGCCUGACGGAGCAACGCCGCGUGAGUGAUGAAGGUCUUCGGAUCGUAAAACUCUUUUAUUAGGAAAGAACAAAAGUGUAAGAAACCAUGCACGUCUUGACGGUACCUAAACAGAAAGCCCCGGCUAACUACGUG
rnacentral:rRNA from 1 species